rnacentral:sRNA from 1 species
CCUGUCGUUUAUGAGGAUGAGCACCUCCGCAGGAGGUUCGAGCCUCGCGAAGCGAGACAACGUUGCUUUGGCAACGGCCCGCAGGGCGCGCAUCAACGAUGCGCGUAAUCCUCUCUCGCCGACCA